CCUGAAUCCUAGGGCUCAGGUAAUCGUUACUCUGCCUCUCAUGCCCACCACCCCAACAGGUCCUGGUGUGUGAUCUUCCCCUCCCUGUGUCCACAUGUUCUCAUUGUUCAACUCCCACUUAUGCGUGAGAACAUGUGGCGUUUGGUUUUCUGUUCCUGUGUUAGUUUGCUGAGGGUGAUGGCUUCCAGCUUCAUCCAUGUCCCUGCCAAGGACAUGAACUCAUUCUUUUUUAUGACUGCAUAGUAUUCCAUGUGGUCUUAGGUUCUUGUUCCUCC
rnacentral:lncRNA from 1 species